rnacentral:misc_RNA from 1 species
GUUGUUAAGCAGUGACGUGUUUCAUUACAUCUGCCAUAAACAAAUUCUUUGAACGAAGAAACUUUUUGAAAAAAAGGUACUUCUACGUAUGUUUUUCUUGACGCAAUGAUGUAUGCGCGUUGCAGACCAAGAGUUAAGCUAUGUUAAUUUGGCUUAGCUCGCAUAGCUGACGCAGUUUUUGAUAAUCGUGUGCAGACACACUAUGCAAACUAAAUACAGAAUAAUGAAUAGAUGUACCCAAUGUAUAUGUAAGGUAGACAAACUCUGACAAACUUAUUAGCACUAACUUGGUCUGCAACCCGCUUUAUAAAUAUAACCUUUAGUUAUCCUGUUACAAUAUCUAUGAGUGAGUGCAACAAACCGAAUUCAGAGAAUUACCUACUUGCGUCACCUCAAAUUAAUUUAAAAGCAUUAGCUUUAAGGAAUAAACACUCAAACGAGUUUGAAAGCCCGCAAUAAGCGGUAAACUCUCUACAAUGUUUGGGAAAACUAUUUUCACAAAUACGUACGAAAUGAGUCAAAAAAAAGUUUUAGUCACAGGAUUUGGGCCUUUUCACCCUUAUAAAGAAAAUGCAAGUUGGGAAGGAGUGCGAAAGAUGAACGAGAGCAGGCUCGGAGCUGACAUAAGUUUGUGUACAAGCGAAAUUGCAGUGCGUUACAAGGAAGUGGAUCGGCUGAUACCGGAGUUGUAUCGCAAAUUCCAACCGCAUUUUGCCAUGCACGUUGGAGUAUCAGACACACCUCCUGAAUGUUUUUACUUGGAAUCUAAAGCUAAUAAGCCUGGGACGGUGGAAUAUCUCGAUGACGAAGCUAAGGAGAGACCUGUUCCCGAUGUGAGCUACCAGCGUCUGCGGGAUUACAUGACAACAAGCCUGGACGUGCACAGCAUAUGCAAGGAGUUUAACCAUAUGUUCUGCGGAACCGAGUUAGAGGCUGUUCCAUCAAAUGAUGCUGGCAGAUAUCUGUGCGAGUACAUUUACUACAAGUCUCUCUGCUUGGGUCCCGCUCUGUUCGUCCAUGUGCCAUCUACCAAGUACAGCUACGAUGAAAUCGCUAACGGCUUAGAAAGCAUUUUAAAAUUAUGUGUUAAACAGCUGUAUACUCGUAAUGACUAUUCGACUCCGAGCCUUUUCCAAUCAUGUUGGGGUCGGCUUCCAGUCUAACCGGAUUUAGCUGAGUACCAGUGCUUUACAAGAAGCGACUGCCUAUCUGACCUCCUCAACCCAGUUACCCGGGCAACCCGAUACCCCUUGGUUAGACUGGUGUCAGACUUACUGGCUUCUGACUACCCGUAACGACUGCCAAGGAUGUUCAAUGACAGCCGGGACCUACAGUUUAACGUGCCAUCCGAAACACAGCCAAUGGUGUCUAAGAAUUCCUAUUAUCUAUACUAAUCUAUACUAAUAUUAUAAAGCUGAAGAGUUUGUUUGUUUGAUUGUUUGUUUGUUUGUUUGAACGCGCUAAUCUCAGGAACUACUGGUCCGAUUUGAACAAUUCCUUCGGUGUUAGAUAGCCCAUUUAUCGAGGAAGGCUAUAGGCUACUUUUUAUCCGGGUUCGUGCAGAGGUUCCCACGGGAUGCGGGUGAAACCGCUGGCACGAGCUAGUGUGAAAUAA